GAUAGAGUGGCUCAGCGGGAAGAGCAGUGGUGGCCUGGGUUCAAAUCCUAGCCCUACCU
rnacentral:tRNA from 1 species